rnacentral:rRNA from 1 species
CAAUAAGCGGAGGAAAAGAAACCAACAGGGAUUGCCCCAGUAACGGCGAGUGAAGCGGCAACAGCUCAAAUUUGAAAUCUGGCUCCCCCCUGGGGGGCCCGAGUUGUAAUUUGGAGAGGAUGCUUUGGGCGCGGCGCCUUCCGAGUUCCUUGGAACAGGACGCCAGAGAGGGUGAGAGCCCCGUACGGUCGGACGCCUAGCCCGUGCAAAGCUCCUUCGACGAGUCGAGUAGUUUGGGAAUGCUGCUCAAAAUGGGAGGUAAAUUUCUUCUAAAGCUAAAUACCGGCCAGAGACCGAUAGCGCACAAGUAGAGUGAUCGAAAGAUGAAAAGCACUUUGAAAAGAGGGUUAAACAGCACGUGAAAUUGUUGAAAGGGAAGCGCUUGUGGCCAGACGUGCGCCCCGCGGACCACCCGUCGCUCUGCGGCGGGGCACGCCGCGGCGGCGCAGGCCAGCAUCGGCUCUCCCAGGGGGACAAAGGCCGCGGGAACGUAGCUCCUUCGGGAGUGUUAUAGCCCGCGGCGUCAUACCUCUGGGGGGGCCGAGG